rnacentral:misc_RNA from 1 species
GAUGAAGAACGCAGCGAAAUGCGAUAAGUAAUGUGAAUUGCAGAAUUCAGUGAAUCAUCGAAUCUUUGAACGCACAUUGCGCCCGCCAGUAUUCUGGCGGGCAUGCCUGUCUGAGCGUCAUUUCAACCCUCAAGCUCAGCUUGGUGUUGGGCCCCGCCGCCCCGGCGGGCCCUAAAGUCAGUGGCGGUGCCGUCCGGCUCCGAGCGUAGUAAUUCUUCUCGCUCUGGAGGUCCGGUCGUGUGCUCGCCAGCAACCCCCAAUUUUUUUCAGGUUGACCUCGGAUCAGGUAGGGAUACCCGCUGAACUUAAGCAUAUCAAUAAGCGGAGGA